rnacentral:rRNA from 1 species
UGGGGAAUUUUGGACAAUGGGCGAAAGCCUGAUCCAGCAAUGCCGCGUGUGUGAAGAAGGCCUUCGGGUUGUAAAGCACUUUUGUCCGGAAAGAAAUCCUUGGCUCUAAUACAGUCGGGGGAUGACGGUACCGGAAGAAUAAGCACCGGCUAACUACGUGCCAGCAGCCGCGGUAAUACGUAGGGUGCAAGCGUUAAUCGGAAUUACUGGGCGUAAAGCGUGCGCAGGCGGUUUGCUAAGACCGAUGUGAAAUCCCCGGGCUCAACCUGGGAACUGCAUUGGUGACUGGCAGGCUAGAGUAUGGCAGAGGGGGGUAGAAUUCCACGUGUAGCAGUGAAAUGCGUAGAGAUGUGGAGGAAUACCGAUGGCGAAGGCAGCCCCCUGGGCCAAUACUGACGCUCAUGCACGAAAGCGUGGGGAGCAAACAGGAUUAGAUACCCUGGUAGUCCACGCCCUAAACGAUGUCAACUAGUUGUUGGGGAUUCAUUUCCUUAGUAACGUAGCUAACGCGUGAAGUUGACCGCCUGGGGGAGUACGGUCGCAAGAUUAAAACUCAAAUGAAUUGACGGGGUCAUAGCUGUUU